UGGUACAUUACUGUUACAGAGGAUAGAUGAUGUCACUGAUGGGCUUACCUGAGCAGGUGAGAUUAAGAAUGAAGGCUAAUUGACUUGCUCCUGCACACUCCCUCAGAGCAGAUUCAGACUUGACACAGUAAGACCAGAUAACCCACACGGAUCUGUGUGAGGACUCUUUUCUCUCUCCUACAGAAACAGCAGAGCCAUAGUCCAACUCUCUGCAGGCAGUAUCUGAUAUCUUCAGGGUCGAGUCAGAGUAAUAGUACCUCACUGGUCUCCAUUCUCCAUUCUGUUUCACCUCCAGUGUUCCUGCACAGCGACUGGCUCCUCCCACCAAUCUGACAGGCUCUGAACAGAAAAAUAAGAGUCAUUAGCAAAAGAACAAAGUGAGUUUCAUUGGAACAUAAAUUAGCCAAAUCAAAGCUGCAGCUCCUCUUCUACCUGAGCAAGUGAGUCUGAAAGCUUUUCCAGAGCGCUCCCUGGAGGACUGAAGGAAGCCCACAGCCAAGCUCCCUACAGACCACCUCUGCAUCCUGCUGGUCAAAGUCAGCUUCACACACUGAGGACCAGCGCUGGGUAGACUGGCUAGUCUUCACCUCCAGUCUGCCUGAGCACAGACUGGUCCCAUUCACCAGCCUGACAAAGUCUGGAGAGAUGAUAGAAGAUAACAUAGAGAGAGAGAAAAGACACUUAAUAAAAAGAUGACAUGAAACAACAAUUGAGUGACUCAAACUUGACUCAGCACAGUUCCAACAUAAGUUUAUCAUUAAAGUGGAAGUAUUAUGCUUU